rnacentral:sRNA from 1 species
UAAAAUCAUAUUUAUACUCGACCAACAGAAGCUACAAAGACUUACAGAGAGCUUAUCAAAUUUACAGAGGAUUACAGAAGGCUCUGAGACAUUCCUAGACAACAAUAAACAAUGCUUCAGGACAAACAGACAGAGCGUGGCCCACCACCUCUCACUUUUGUUCCCCAAGCGUUUCUAAGGAUAAGAAAAUCCCAGCACUCCAUCUCAUCCACUCGAUCUAACCCUAUCUCUCCCCACCGACACUAUCUCUCUUCCUCACAACCCUCACUCGACCUCAUCCUCACACGCACGACCAAACCUCACCAUAUCUCUUCCUCUUCAGUCACUCGACCGCACCAUCACACUCGACCUCACCGUUCACUCGAUCUCGCCCCUCCGGCUUUGUCUCCCUCCUUCACUCUACCUCGAAACAACCGUCGCCGUUCGCGCCACCUCCUUCACUCUCUCCUUCACUCGACGACGGUACUCGAUUUCGCCAUUUCUUCCUUCUCACCGUCGCCUCCUUACCACUCGACCGCAACUCGACCUCUCCGUGCUUCAUCUUCAUCUUCAUUUACUCGACUUCGCCGGAGCUUCUCGCCGUUCCAGCUUCGCAUACUCUCUCACCGUCUCUCGUUUCACUCGACCACUUCACACUUCGCCUCAACAUCUUCGCCGGAGUUUCUCGCCAUUGUCCGUGCUUCCGUCAUCUCCGUUCACUCGACCACCGGACCGGCUUCACCAUCUCUCAACUAUCCACCAUUCACUCGACCUCGCCAUUCACUGCGCCUCCAUUCGUCUCUUUACUCGACUGCUCCUCAAACCGCCACCGUCUUCUCUAAAUUCGCCGUUUACUCGACCGUUUCACUCGACCGCGUACUUGACUGGUUUAGUGUGUGUGUUUAUUUGAACUAACAUAUUGAUAUUUGGUUUUGAGUUACAUUCUUUUUCAGGGAAUCAAUAUGAGUAACUACAGUGGCGAAUCCUCCAUGGAUGCGGAUUACAACGUCGAUGAAGCUGAAUCUUGGUCAACUAGACCAGGGAGAGAGCAACAGGCUUAUGAGAGCUUCAGAGCCGAGACCCAACGCUCAGUAGCUCGACGCAAUGAAAGGAGAGCUGAGAUUGCUAGAGGAAAGAGAGCGAUGACCAGCAGAUAUGAGUUGAUCGACGAAGAUAUUGACGUCGAGUAUGAGCCUGAGUCAUGGCACAGAGAAACAAAACUGUUGAACAAGCCUGAUGAAGUUACAGUGGAGGAGUACAUCAGACUUUUCGAGCUGAACGACUUCUGGGGAACGAGGUACCCCUGUUACGAGACUCUAGCCCAGCUUGGGCUACUGGAGGACGUACAGCACUUAUUCGAGAAGUGCCAUCUUGAGACGCUGAUGUCUUACCCGUACGUCGCUUACAAGAAGGAAACAAUAGAGUUUCUCUCCACUCUGCAAGUGGAGUUGUAUCAGGGACUUACUGCAGAUGAACUGGAGAGUGAAGGGUUGGGGUUCUUGACUUUUUCAGUUAACGAGCAGCGUUACCAGCUAUCUAUCAAGAGCUUGGAAGGAUUAUUUGGUUUUCCUAGUGGAAAGGGAACUAAACCCAAGUUCGAGAGGGAAGAGUUGAAGGAUUUGUGGUUAACCAUUGGGAACGAUUUGGCGCUCAACUCUGCAAGGUCUAAGAGCAACCAGAUUCGAAGCCCUGUGAUCCGUUACUAUCAGCGCUCAGUAGCGAAUGUUCUGUACCCCAGGGAAUCUACGGGCACCGUGUCUAACACAGACAUGGAAAUGAUUGAUUCUGCACUCAAGGGCAUUCUCCGGAGAACAAAGGGGAAGAAGGUCCUAAAGGGCGACCUCAAUGAUACACCACCGGUUAUGCUUCUGUUGAUCCACCUGUGUGGAUACAGGAAGUGGGCGCACACCAACGGAAAGAAGAAGGUGCGAGGAGCCCUUUGUGUAGGUGGCGUUGUGACACCGAUUCUGAUUGCAUGUGGUGUACCUCUUACGUCUCCAGGGUUUGAUCCGAGGAUGAUGGAUUUAGAUCACUUGCGUCGUUGUGAGUUUCUGGAGUACGACAUGGUUGGCGAUUUCUAUCGCUACAAAUUCGAGCACUCCCUGACCCGAACAGCCAACAUUUUGCUUCCCUGCAUCGAGGCCACAACCAUACUUCAGGGUGAGAACAUUGACUUCAGACCUGCGCGUGAUUACCUCUACUUUGAGAGCACUCCACCGACUGAUGACAAUGUCCCUACGACGGAAGCUACAGAGGAUGAUCUUGCUGAGACGGAUGAGGAUAGGGAGGAGGAGUAUGAUACGAGCAUGUAUCAUUUCAGUGAGCACGUACCUCCAGCGCGGGAGAGCAAGAGCUUGAGUGAAGCUCACAGAAACAACAGUAAGUUGCAGAGGUGGUGCAAGAAACAAGAUAGGUUACUUAUCAAGUGCUUCAAGGCCAUCACGUUUCUGACGGACAAGAUAAGUUGCUUCUCUUCUACCACAGCUAUUCCGCAGGGAGAGCGUCCUCAGGACAUGCCUUCGAGGAGAUAUGACGCGUCGGGGCCAAGUCAUCACAGGCCUGAGCCAAGUCACCACAGGCCUGAGCCUAGUGACCGAGUAGUACCACCAGUCCCUGCAAGGCAUUCAUCAUUCGAGCCUCGGGAGCUCGGGAGAAAGAAGAAGGCUGCACUCGCUAGGGCUGGCAGCAGGAGUACACGACUUCUCGAGUCCCGUAGCUUACGCGACCGCGGUGCUGGCCGCAGCAGAAGAAGAGAGGUCGAGUAUCAUCAGAGCGGUGCUGGCCGCGACGAAGGAGCAGAGGUCGAGUACCCCCAGGGGGAAGCUGAGACACAACAGGGAGAUUCUUCGAUGGCCUAGGAGCAAUCACAGGCAGCUAUUGACGACCAACUCCGCUCCUUUUUCCACUGAGGUAUGCACCUCAUUCCACCAUUGUAAUAUACCAUCUCUUGUUUUUAUUUAGUUUUUGUGAUGUGUUUUUGUCCUGAGUACUCUCUUCCAAAUUUGGUCACACAGUGGACUGUGUGAUUUAAGUUUGGGGGAGGGCUCAGGAAGUGUGUGUUGCAUUGUAUAAUCUUGAGUCUGCAUUCAUCUAAGGCAUAGAAAAACCAAAAAAAUUGAAAAAUUCCAGAAAAUGAUUUCACAAAAAUAGAGUGUUCAUGUAGUUGCAUUGCAUUUAGGAUCGAGUCUAGAGUGUUUCGUUUAGGAUUGUUGCAUAUGCAUAGGGGAUAAUGAUGAGAUAGCCUUGUAAGCAUUUUGGUUCACCAGAUAAGCUCAGUGCCCUCGUUGUUAGUUGUUUGAUGCGUUGUCAUUGAAAUUGAAGUAAGAACUGCACCAUGCCUAGAUUGCUCUACUCGACCACACUGUUAGGAUCUGAUAUCAUUCCCUAUCAAUUUGAACUUGAAUCUGAUUUAGAAUUAUCAUGUCUUGGCAUCGAAUUUGAACUCAUGAAUACCCUAAAAUACUUGGAUUUUCUUACUCAUUUUAACCACUCUUGUUGAUCCAAGUAGCUGACUCUCCUUAUUAGAGCAGUUAACCCAUACCCAAACCUGAACUUUCUUUCAAGCCCUAUAUCACUUGUGAGUGUUUGUGAGGUCUUAUUUCGAUUGAGCUUGGUAGAAAGUGUUAGGUUCGUAACGACAGAGAUAGUGUCUCAUGUAGUUCUAGUUCGCGUUCUUCAGACUGGAUAGGACUAGGUGGGCGCUUAUAUCAUGGGUUGGGAUGUGUUUAAAAGAAAAGAGGGAAUCCAUUGUUGAUGAGGAAAGGGAAAGAAUUCUAGGGGAAGUAAGCUAAAGAAGUUAGAAAAAAAUCUAGUAAAGGUGUUGGGAAUGUUAAAGAAAAGAAUGAGGUUCUUGUUAGCUAAAGAAGAAAGGUUAAAAGCCUUUGGUUUUAAA